AGCAUGGCAUUCAUUCCUGACAAGACUGCAGAACCUGCUUGCAGAGUCUGCUGAGAUGCAGCUAUAUAAAGAGCGGCGUUCCACAGCCACGCCAGAGCUGCGGUGUGAACUCCUUAAAUCUACAAAAGAAGAAAGAUGCUGCAUUUAAAGCCUUCACCAAUGUGCUGGUGUGACGUCCUUUGGUCAAGUGGUUCUUAACAGUUCAACAGUUCUUUACCAAAAUUGUGAAAUGUUUAGGACCACUUGAUCAGGGUGAUGAUUAUGUUAAAGAGUGAAGACAAGAGACACAUCAAAGAGGACACUUAAUGAAAAUAAAAUCAGUGCCAAAGAA